rnacentral:lncRNA from 1 species
CUUUAAAAUCUUACAUGCUGAAAUACACAAAAUCCUUUACAAUAAGCCUUCUCAGGUCACAAACUUUUUGAACAUGACUCUGGGAGCAUGCCGCUCAUCUUAUUAAAUUCAACCUAUUCUUCAGAGCCCAAAUAAGCCUGACUCAGUAAGUAGAGCCUGCUCCAACUGGUCCAGCCCCAUGGUGAUCCUCCUUUCUGAUCAUUCCU